UACGUAGGGUGCGAGCGUUGUCCGGAAUUAUUGGGCGUAAAGAGCUCGUAGGCGGUCUGUCGCGUCGAUCGUGAAAACUUGGGGCUUAACCCUGAGCUUGCGGUCGAUACGGGCAUGACUGGAGUUCGGCAGGGGAGAAUGGAAUUCCCGGUGUAGCGGUGAAAUGCGCAGAUAUCGGGAGGAACACCGGUGGCGAAGGCGGUUCUCUGGGCCUGUUCUGACGCUGAGGAGCGAAAGCGUGGGGAGCGAACAGG
rnacentral:rRNA from 1 species